rnacentral:rRNA from 1 species
CUCGUAGGCGGUUUGAUAAGUCCUGUGUGAAAUCCCUUGGCUCAACCAAGGAAUGGCGCAGGAUACUGUCAUACUUGAGGCCGGGAGAGGGAAGCGGAAUUCCCAGUGUAGCGGUGAAAUGCGUAGAUAUUGGGAGGAACACCGGUGGCGAAGGCGGCUUCCUGGACCGGUUCUGACGCUCAAGAGCGAAAGCCAGGGGAGCAAACAGGAUUAGAUACCCUGGUAGUCCUGGCUGUAAACGAUGGGCGCUUGGUGUUGCGGGUAUCGACCCCUGCAGUGCCGGAGCUAACGCAUUAAGCGCCCCGCCUGGGGAGUACGGUCGCAAGGCUGAA